GGAGAGCUGGCAGAACGGCUAUUGCACCAGUCUUGAAAACUGGCGUCCGCAAGGACUUCGGGGUUCGAAUCCCUGGCUCUCCG
rnacentral:tRNA from 1 species